UUGACAGGCCCUACACACCCCUACUAUCCCGCUUCGUCGCACUCCUGGGGGAGCCCCGACCUGAGGCUGGAGAGAACUAAACAGGGCCUGGGUAGGUGGGGGGAAGGGACGCUUUGCGCGAGAACCUUAUUGGGCGCGAGUGUCUUCCCCUCUUCCCUCUUUACCAAGCUCCUGAACAGAGGUGGCUCCGUCAACGGAGCCUCCCGCGGGGGCGCCUCCUGGUGCCCCGGGGUGGCAUCUCCUAGGCCUAGCUCCCCACCCUCGCUAGGCAGGGGGAGGGGACGUGCGACGGACGGCUGCAGCUCUUGCUCAGGCUCUAGUGCCUGCUUUCCAGCCUGGCUUCUCUGCGCUGCUGUGUGUCCCUAGUACCGCGGGCACUCCCUUUUUAACCUGAAUCGGAGCGUAAGUGUGCUCUGCCGGGCAGCGGGGGAAGAGCCCAGCUACUUCUUUUAGCACUCGGGUUCUUAACCUUUCUGCGAGCCCUGGACCACGGAGGAAUCGAAGCCUGUUGACCCUCCCCCACCUUCUCCAGCUCCUCUUUUUAGAUGCAGGAAAGAAGAUUCCCGAGAUUACAAAGGAAAUCAAUUAUAUUGAAAUUCAGGCAUCUGCCAGUUUAAAACCGUGGGGUCAGGGACGCCAGGUUAAUAACCCCGGCAAUAAAAGAAAUCUAGUCCAGAGGCAUCUUUAGGCAUCAUGGUGCCUGCUUGUGAGCUGAGAGAAUCCGAGUUCAAGUCCUGCUUUUGAGCAGUAAAACUAGGGAGUGUCCCAAGACAACUUAUACAGACCAGUUGGAGGAGAAGAGCUCCCGGGAGCGUGGAGCUGUGGUUGCUGAGGAGGCAAAGUCUACACGCCGGCAGAGACAGUUUUCAGGUUCUGCCUCCAUUGGGAUUGCUCCCUCAAGAGGACUAAGUGAGCCUGGGCCAGUGGUCUGGGCAGCAUUGCCGCUAUACCUAGGGCUUUUGGCCUACCCAGACCCAGCUCUUGGUCAGCCAUUGCGUCAGCCGUCAGUGUCCAUAGUGGUCAGGAUGUCCCGUUCCUUCUCCUCGAAGAGGCUUACCCUCAGGGAUGUCUGCACAGAUCAGGAUGAAGCAGGGGAACUUGCAGAGGGCUGCUGCUCUUUUCAAGGUUCUUGGGAGGAAGGUCUAGCCCCGAGCCACCUUGGUCGUAGAGAUGCAGUGACCAAGGCAGGGCAAUGGUUCAGCCUACUAGCUCCCUACUGCUCUGUCUCUCCUACCAGAUAGAUGGCAAGGAUGGAUUUAUAUCUUAACAGAAAUAAAAAAGAUGGAACAACUCUCCUGUAAGAAUUC
rnacentral:lncRNA from 1 species